rnacentral:lncRNA from 1 species
UCACAUACUCUCUCUCUCAAACGUCUCACUUUUUCAAGAAAAAAGGGCUGGUCAUUUUCUCUCUCUUCAUGUGUGAAACUACCCCUUUCUUCUUAGUGAUUUUAGGGUUAAUUUUCUGGAUUUUUUUCUGAAAAUAAUCCCAAAAAAUAGCAUGAAAUACUCAAGAUCUAUAUGGGUGUUGUGCUAUUUUGGUCUUUGUUGAGUUGAAUCCAUGUGACUCUUUGUUGGCCGGAUUUUCUUGUGAAAACUUAGUGUUUUCCGGCCAUUCUUGUAUACUAUAGAGGCUGAUUUUGUAUAGUUCCUUGAUAGAAAGUGAUAUAUUGUGAAAUAGCACCCCAUUUUCUGUGAUUCUUGAGAAGGAAACUCCGGUCAUGGGAGAAAUCUUAGUGAUUCAGUGAUAUUCCUUUGUGGAAUAGUGGCCGGUUCUAUUGUUCUUUAUGAGAUAAGUCUUUUCGACUAAUUUGUUGUAAUAUUCUAAAACAAUAUUGUAUAUUUGUUGCUUGAUUUUUGGGGCUUUAUAGUGCAAUCGAGCUUUAUCUAUCUUAAUGGAUGCUCAACAGGGGAUUAGACGUUAGAAGUGGUCGCCGAUCCUUUGGGACUUCGGUCGAAAAAUUCUCUGUGUUCAUUUUUAAUUCCUGCACUUUAUUUUCAGUUUACGAUUGUAGUUUUGGAAUCUUGGUUAAUAUUGGUAUCUCUCGAUUUUUUAGUGGUA